GUCGGGGUGGCGGAACUGGCAGACGCGCACGGUUGAGGGCCGUGUGUUUAACGACAUACGGGUUCAAGUCCCGUCCUCGACACCA
rnacentral:tRNA from 1 species